rnacentral:rRNA from 1 species
CACGUAGGGCGCAAGCGUUGUCCGGAAUUAUUGGGCGUAAAGAGCUCGUAGGCGGUUCGUCGCGUCGGCUGUGAAAUCCCGGAGCUCAACUCCGGGUCUGCAGUCGAUACGGGCGGACUUGAGUUCGGCAGGGGAGACUGGAAUUCCUGGUGUAGCGGUGAAAUGCGCAGAUAUCAGGAAGAACACCUAUGGCGAAGGCAGCUCUCUGGGACGGUACUGACGCUGAGACGCGAAAGCGUGGGGAGCGAACAGG